UACGAAGGGGGCUAGCGUUGUUCGGAAUUACUGGGCGUAAAGGGCGCGCAGGCGGCCGCUCAAGUCAGAUGUGAAAGCCCCGGGCUCAACCUGGGAACUGCAUUUGAUACUGAGUGGCUAGAGUUCGGGAGAGGAGAGUGGAAUUCCCAGUGUAGAGGUGAAAUUCGUAGAUAUUGGGAAGAACACCGGUGGCGAAGGCGGCUCUCUGGUCCGGUACUGACGCUGAGGUGCGAAAGCGUGGGGAGCAAACAGG
rnacentral:rRNA from 1 species